rnacentral:lncRNA from 1 species
GAGAGGAGGAGGUCUAGGCUAAUUGACGGAGCUUGGGCGGGGAAGUGUUGCAUCAGAGACGACUAGGGAACAUGAAGGAGCCAGCCGUGACAGCUGAGGCCAUGUGAGGCAGAUCCUGAAUGAGGCUUUAUCUCUGCUCUUGGUCCUACCAUCCACUGUGACACCAGCUCCUUCGGCGGCGGCCGGGAUGGGACAGGCAACUGAGAGAGCCAAAGAGGUGAUGGUGACCACACCCCGGACGGGGAGAGGAACGGGACUCUGGGCCUCUAGCUGCCAAGCAGGUGGUGGGGGCUCUAGGCCAUGACCCAUACCCUCUAACCCCUGACACUGCCCUCUGCCC